rnacentral:rRNA from 1 species
UACGGAGGGUGCAAGCGUUAUCCGGAUUCACUGGGGUUAAAGGUGCGUAGGUGGGCAGGUAAGUCAGUGGUGAAAUCUCCGAGCUUAACUCGGAAACUGCCGUUGAUACUAUUUGUCUUGAAUAUUGUGGAGGUAAGCGGAAUAUGUCAUGUAGCGGUGAAAUGCUUAGAUAUGACAUAGAACACCAAUUGCGAAGGCAGCUUACUACACAAUGAUUGACGCUGAGGCACGAAAGCGUGGGGAUCAAACAGG